UUGCACAUUUUUUGCACAACUGCACGGUCCGAUAACUGCAAACUCUGCUCCAACAUGAAAAAAAAGUGCUCUACUUGCGCUUGGUCAGUUUACUUACUACAAGUAAUGAGUACUAUGUAGUCCGGCUAAUUUCCCAGUCAUGGGAGA
rnacentral:sRNA from 1 species